AGAGGAAGCUGCCUCCAGGUGAUUUUCAUAAGUGGGUUUUGCGUAGUUUCCAAGCUAUGUUAGCCAUUUCUUGAAUUACUUGUCCUUUAUAUCACUCUGUUAAUAUAUACUGCUUGUCUUGUUCCUGAUGAAAUUGAAUAUAUUCAAAACUGAUAUUUUCAUUUAUUCAGGAGUUAAAAAGUAUUAUCAAUACCCUCCUAAAAGAAAGGCAUUAUUAAUGCCCUUUUAAGCCAUGAAAAAUAAAAGGAUGCGAGCAUCUGUAUGAUUUAUACUUCUGAUAAGAAAGAAAAAGUCUUGUCCCCCAAAUUCUUUGAUUCUUAUGUGCAAUGUUAUAUUAACAUGCAUCAGUUAUGCAUUUUGUGCUUAUGCUCUAUGUGAAUGUGAGUGUAUAAGGAUGUACGCAAGUAUGUGUAUAAAGAUCCUUGAGAUACGGCCAAUGCUUCAAUUAGUUGUCUUAUAUUUCAACCGUAUUUUAACUGUUCAUUGAUGAUUUCACAUAAAUUCUUGUAGUCAUCUCAUGGUUCUUGUUGAAGAACAUAGCUGUAUAUGUAGACUAGUUCUAGCUUCUUGAUGAUUUUCUUGAUUAUUUAUUUCUGCCUACCUAAAGUGUAGCUGCAGGCUCCUGUUCAAUUUUGUGUAAUCAUUUCCCUCAUUUAUCCUUCACUUGUUUUCCAUUUUUAUAAUGUCAAGUUCUAAUCAUGAAGACUUUUUCAUUGCUAUUAUUUUGGCUAAUUUGUGAGCUAAAACGUGCUAUGAUUAUUGGAAUCCUAAUGCUUUUGUAAAUGCAGGUGAUU
rnacentral:misc_RNA from 1 species